AGGCAAUUGAAUUCACAUUUAUUUCCGGGAGUCAUAUUAUCUGCCAUGGAGGCAGAAAUCCAGAAACAAGAAGAAGUAGAACCAGCCUUUGACUAUAAGGUCAAAUCAGAGUCCACAAUGUCACAAGAAGAUAAGGCAAAACAGAAAAAAAGAGGUCGGAGAGAAAGGUCUAUCCGGAAAAUCAGACGCCUCUAAAACAUGCUGAAAACGGAACAAACGAAUCUAGCUCGAAGCCGGAGGAGAAUAAUAAAAACGACCUUCCAAACUCUAACCGAUUCACAGAGAGCAAGAAUUUCAUACAAAGCAUAGCAGACGUGUCGCUUAUGAUGGCAAAUAUUUCACAGUUGAGGGCAAAUUUGGGUUGUGGCGACAGCAAUUCAUUUUAUAUUCAUCUACUUACACUAGUUAUUCUUUCACUGGUGUCACACAUAUUUUUUGUUUUCUUCACUGUGAUUAGAUCGCAUUUUAGAUACAAACACCGUAUUGCAGUGAAAAGAGCAAAAGAGGGUGUUAAAAAAGACGAUUCAAUAAGGUAUUGCUGUUGUCUUACUGAAAAGUAUAUCCGUAAUGAAUACAACGAUAGCGAUUUGUGUCAGUGUCCACAUUGUUAUGCAGAUCUUUACCUGAAUUAUAUCUGUAAUAUUCUUGUUUUCAUAACAAUUUGUGCUAACAUUGGUAUAACAGGAAUUGGAAUUACUGGAGAAUGUUAGCCUUUUGAUUAAGUGCCAGUUUUUGUAAGAAUCAGGCAAUUUAGAAAAAUUUCAAAACAUGGCUGAAAAAAACCCACCGAGCAAUCUAUCCUAUUUUGAAGUUACUCUCAUCCUGAGUUAGAAAUGGUAGGUCUUUGUUUCUGCUGUUCUGGUAAUUCGAGAAAUCUCUAGAUAACUUUUGGUUAGAAUGAUAGCAAAUUACAGUUAUCUCCCUUUAAUUGUUAAUUUCUAGUGCAUUUCAACCAAAUUAUAUCUUGAGUUACCAGAACAGGAAGAGGAAACGAAUGUUAUAUUCGUGCACCAUGAUACAAUUUGAACAUACAUUAAUGUCAACUUGAGUGGGGUUUUUUUUGUCAUGUUUUCACCACUGCCUGAUUCUUAGGCAGAUUGGCACUUAAGAGUUUAUGUAUAUGCAAUGUUGGGAAUUGAAAUAUUUGAUAUGACUUGUUUGGCUACAAACCAAUGAAAUACUUAAAUAUUAAUUUAUGUUUCAUCCUUAUAUAAACAUGUAUAAUACAAAAGUACACAAAACACAACAAUACAUAAAUUAAUUAUAUUGUAUACCCAUUGAAUUAAAAGAAAUCCCCCUUCAAAAAUUUCGAGACAUGAAUACACUAAAAGUCAAAAUGAACAGAAUAGAAGGAAACUACGCAAAACUUUAUAUCCAAAAAGCAAAACCGCGAGCUUAAAAAACAUAUACACCUAGUAACAAUGGCAGCUGUCCAUAAUACAAUAAAAACGAAAUAAUAAUAAAUUGCACUCUUUUCUAAAUCUGAGUCAGAGUGUGUAGGAUAAUUCAA